UACAUAGGGAGCAAGCGUUAUCCGGAUUUAUUGGGUGUAAAGGGUGCGUAGACGGGAAAUUAAGUUAGUUGUGAAAUCCCUCGGCUUAACUGAGGAACUGCAACUAAAACUGAUUUUCUUGAGUACUGGAGAGGAAAGUGGAAUUCCUAGUGUAGCGGCGAAAUGCGUAGAUAUUAGGAGGAACACCAGUGGCGAAGGCAGCAUACCGGCGCCCGACUGACGCUGAAGCACGAAAGCGUGGGUAUCGAACAGG
rnacentral:rRNA from 1 species